GACGAACGCUGGCGGCGUGCUUAACACAUGCAAGUCGAACGGUGAAGGGACUGGUUUUGCUGGUCCUGGAUGAGUGGCGAACAGGUGAGUAACACGUGAGUAACCUGCCCCCUUCUUCUGGAUAACCGCAUGAAAGUGUGGCUAAUACGGGAUAUUCUGGGUCUGUCGCAUGGUGGGCCUGGGAAAGAUUGCGCCUUUUUUGGUGUUUUUGGUGGGGGAUGGGCUCGCGGCCUAUCAGCUUGUUGGUGGGGUGAUGGCCUACCAAGGCGGUGACGGGUAGCCGGCCUGAGAGGGUGGACGGUCACACUGGGACUGAGACACGGCCCAGACUCCUACGGGAGGCAGCAGUGGGGAAUAUUGCACAAUGGGCGCAAGCCUGAUGCAGCGACGCCGCGUGAGGGAUGGAGGCCUUCGGGUUGUGAACCUCUUUCGCCAGUGAAGCAGGCCUGCCUCUUUUUGUGGGUGGGUUGACGGUAGCUGGAUAAGAAGCGCCGGCUAACUACGUG
rnacentral:rRNA from 1 species